rnacentral:rRNA from 1 species
GGGUUGUGAGGUUAAGCGACUAAGCGUACACGGUGGAUGCCCUGGCAGUCAGAGGCGAUGAAGGACGUGCUAAUCUGCGAUAAGCGUCGGUAAGGUGAUAUGAACCGUUAUAACCGGCGAUUUCCGAAUGGGGAAACCCAGUGUGAUUCGUCACACUAUCAUUAACUGAAUCCAUAGGUUAAUGAGGCGAACCGGGGGAACUGAAACAUCUAAGUACCCCGAGGAAAAGAAAUCAACCGAGAUUCCCCCAGUAGCGGCGAGCGAACGGGGAGCAGCCCAGAGCCUGAAUCAGUGUGUGUGUUAGUGGAAGCGUCUGGAAAGGCGUGCGAUACAGGGUGACAGCCCCGUACACAAAAAUGCACAUAUUGUGAGCUCGAUGAGUAGGGCGGGACACGUGGUAUCCUGUCUGAAUAUGGGGGGACCAUCCUCCAAGGCUAAAUACUCCUGACUGACCGAUAGUGAACCAGUACCGUGAGGGAAAGGCGAAAAGAACCCCGGCGAGGGGAGUGAAAAAGAACCUGAAACCGUGUACGUACAAGCAGUGGGAGCACGCUUAGGCGUGUGACUGCGUACCUUUUGUAUAAUGGGUCAGCGACUUAUAUUCUGUAGCAAGGUUAACCGAAUAGGGGAGCCGAAGGGAAACCGAGUCUUAACUGGGCGUUAAGUUGCAGGGUAUAGACCCGAAACCCGGUGAUCUAGCCAUGGGCAGGUUGAAGGUUGGGUAACACUAACUGGAGGACCGAACCGACUAAUGUUGAAAAAUUAGCGGAUGACUUGUGGCUGGGGGUGAAAGGCCAAUCAAACCGGGAGAUAGCUGGUUCUCCCCGAAAGCUAUUUAGGUAGCGCCUCGUGAAUUCAUCUCCGGGGGUAGAGCACUGUUUCGGCAAGGGGGUCAUCCCGACUUACCAACCCGAUGCAAACUGCGAAUACCGGAGAAUGUUAUCACGGGAGACACACGGCGGGUGCUAACGUCCGUCGUGAAGAGGGAAACAACCCAGACCGCCAGCUAAGGUCCCAAAGUCAUGGUUAAGUGGGAAACGAUGUGGGAAGGCCCAGACAGCCAGGAUGUUGGCUUAGAAGCAGCCAUCAUUUAAAGAAAGCGUAAUAGCUCACUGGUCGAGUCGGCCUGCGCGGAAGAUGUAACGGGGCUAAACCAUGCACCGAAGCUGCGGCAGCGACGCUUAUGCGUUGUUGGGUAGGGGAGCGUUCUGUAAGCCUGUGAAGGUGUGCUGUGAGGCAUGCUGGAGGUAUCAGAAGUGCGAAUGCUGACAUAAGUAACGAUAAAGCGGGUGAAAAGCCCGCUCGCCGGAAGACCAAGGGUUCCUGUCCAACGUUAAUCGGGGCAGGGUGAGUCGACCCCUAAGGCGAGGCCGAAAGGCGUAGUCGAUGGGAAACAGGUUAAUAUUCCUGUACUUGGUGUUACUGCGAAGGGGGGA